CCGCCAGAAAAUUACGAGCAAAAAGCUUAAAACUCAAAGGACUUGGCGGUUCUCCACACCAACUUAGAGGAGCCUGUCCUAUAAUCGAUACCCCACGCUAAACCUCACCAAUCUUAGCCAAAAUCAGCCUAUAUACCGCCGUCACCAAUCUACCUCGUGAGAGAAAAACAGUAAGUACAAAAGUUAAGUAACUAAAACGUCAGGUCAAGGUGUAGCUAACAGAAUGGAAGAGAUGGGCUACAUUUUUU
rnacentral:rRNA from 1 species